GGGACUUUGUGUCCACCACAUUCUACCAGUUCACCAUUUUAGGGACUGUCGCAACACCGCCAUUAGCAGGGUUCCUCGUGACUAGCUACGGAUACCGUCAAGCAUCUAUGGUCACCUUCGGAGCUUUGCUGAUAUGGAUGUGCAUCGCUGGUGGUGUGUGGCUGAGGACAGCGUGCCGACGUAUUGCGACCAAAUCGUCGGAAUAUGAAGUAUUGUCGGACGAGAGUGAAACUAGUACAGCCACAAAAGAAUCCCCACC